GAUGAAGAACGCAGCGAAAUGCGAUAAGUAAUGUGAAUUGCAGAAUUCAGUGAAUCAUCGAAUCUUUGAACGCACAUUGCGCCCGCCAGCACUCUGGCGGGCAUGCCUGUCCGAGCGUCAUUUCAACCCUCAGGCCCCCCGGGGACUGGUGUUGGGGAUCGGCCCGCCCUGGCGCGGCGCCGUCCCCGAAAUACAGUGGCGGUCUCGCUGCAGCCUCCCCUGCGUAGUAGCACACCUCGCAUUGGAGAGCGGCGCGGCCACGCCGUGAAACCCCAACUUCUGAUAGUUGACCUCGGAUCAGGUAGGAAUACCCGCUGAACUUAAGCAUAUCAAUAAGCGGAGGA
rnacentral:misc_RNA from 1 species